rnacentral:lncRNA from 1 species
GAAUGUGCCUCCGCAUGCAUGCCAUGUUCGGCGGCCGAACCUGGACUUCCUCACUUAUGCUUUCGGGGGCCUAAAGGCGCUCCCGAAGGCAUGCAUGUUCGGCGGCCGAACUUGAGGUUCGGCGGCCGAACCUGAGUUUUCCUCCAAGGUUGCUUUUAUGCAAAAACUCAUUUCCAUUUUACUUAAAACCAUGAAAUACCUUAAAACAUUUUAUGAAAACAUGAUUCUACCCUACUAGAGGCUUCCGACAUCCGAGUUUCCACCGGACGGUAGGAAUUCCGAUACCGGAGUCUAGCCGGGUAUUAC